rnacentral:sRNA from 1 species
UUAUCAAUGUAGGCCUAUUACAUAAAGUAACAUUUAAAUGUCAUUUUGAUAACUGAUAACAUAUAGAUAUGUGUAGGACUUAAUUAUCUUCUCUUUUAAAGUAACAUCUGUAAUUUAUAAGAUUAAAUCACCAAACAUGUCACUUGUUAACAAACAAGUACUCCCAUAACUAAACAAAAAUCAGCAUAGUUUUUCAGCUCCAGAAAUUAAACUUGUGGUGAUAGUGAUUGGAUGGCAAGUUUUAUAGGUUGUUUUUCUCUAAGAAAAUUUCAAGAUUGUGUUUUGCCCAGAACAAAAGGGUGAGACUUUCAACAAGAUAAUUCUACAAAAACAUUUUUAGCAAGCACAAUACUUCUUCACUCACACAACUUCAUUAAUAUGUCAGAUGAAACCGAUGCUUGUGCCAUUGUGUGCAUGGCAUUGGAAAUAUGUUGCACACUUUGUGAAUUUGUACAUAUUUGCUGCCGUGCCGCAGAGGAGGAUAAAGAGCAGCUAAACUCUACACAGCUUUCGAGCACAGAGAUCAACAUCUCUAAGCAACCAGAAUAAUGUGUUUUUUUUAUCUGAAUGUACAAAAUUAUCUUAGAAACUUUAAUAUCAAAUAAUGAUAUUAUAGUAAUGCCAAAAUAUAAACAUUGUAAUAAUUUCUGCAUUUAUAAAUAAAUGUCAACAGAGAAUACAAAAUAAAAUUGUUUGGAGUUCUGAUAA